CGCCAAUGAUGUUAUGCUUCCAAGAAAAGCUCGUACACCAUUUUUUCCGCUUGCGGUUAAAAAGAAACAUAAAAAUGACCUGUACCUGAAACCGACACAGGUAGGUUGGUAGAGAAUACUAAGGGGCGCGAGAGAACUCUCUCUAAGGAACUCGGCAAACUAACCCCGUAACUUCGGAAGAAGGGGUGCCCCCUGAAAGGGGGGUCGCAGUGAAGCGGUUCAUGGAACUGUUUAUCAAAAACACAGGUCUCCGCAAAGUCGUAAGACAAUAUAUGGGGGCUGACGCCUGCCCAGUGCCGGAAGGUCAAGGAAGUUGGUUAGUGAUUUCGAUUGCGAAGCUGACGACCGAAGCCCCGGUGAACGGCGGCCGUAACUAUGACGGUCCUAAGGUAGCGAAAUUCAUUGUCGAGUAAGUUUCGACCUGCACGAAAGGCGUAAUCAUAUGAACGCUGUCUCGGAGAGAGACUCGGUGAAAUAGACUUGUCCGUGAAGAUGCCCGAAUCGGUAGGGGAGCGUUCUGCAACGGGUGAAGCUUGACUGUAUCUUGGAAUUGGGUUUGGGCUUUUCUUGCGCAGACUAGGUGGGAGGCUAUGAAGAUUUUCUUCCGGGAAAGUUGGAGCCAACAGUGAGAGACCACUCUGGAGAGGCUAGAAUCCUAAUGGUAUCCUUGAAUCAGGACACUUGACAGUUUCAGGUGGGCAGUUUUUCUGGGGCGGAAACCUCAUAAAAGGUAACUGAGGCGCGCAAUGGUCCCCUCAGUCUGGACGGAAAUCAGACAUUGAGUGUAAAGGCAAAAGGGGGCUUGACUGCAAGACCUACAAGUCGAGCAGGAGCGAAAGCUGGCCUUAGUGAUCCGACGGUGCCGUGUGGAAGGGCCGUCGCUCAACGAAUAAAAGUUACUCUAGGAUAACAGGCUGAUCUCCUCCAUGAGUUCACAUCGACGAGAAGGUUUGGCACCUCGAUGUCGGCUCAUCACAUCCUGGGGCUGUAGUAGGUCCCAAGGGUUGGGCUGUUCGCCCAUGAAAGUGGUACGUGAGCUGGGUUCAGAACGUCGUAAGACAGUUCGGUCCAUAUCCAGUAUUAGCGUUAGAAUAUUGAGGUCAGUCACUCAUAGUACGAGAGGACCUGUAGUGAACAUGCCUAUGGUGUACCUGUUAUUUUUCCAAAAGUAAACGCAGGGUAGCUAUGCAUGGAGUGAAUAAGUACUGAAUGCAUCUAAGUACGAAGUCCAGACCAAGAUGAGUAUUCUCUAUAAAGCCGCAGCAAGACAAGCUGUUUUGAUAGGUAUCAAGUGAAAGGCCAGUAAUGGUUUCAGCUGAGAUAUACUAAAGGCGAAUUGAUUUU
rnacentral:rRNA from 1 species